UACGAAGGGGGCUAGCGUUGUUCGGAAUUACUGGGCGUAAAGCGCACGUAGGCGGAUUGUUAAGUCAGGGGUGAAAGCCUGGAGCUCAACUCCAGAACUGCCCUUGAUACUGGCAAUCUCGAGUCCGGAAGAGGUAAGUGGAACUGCGAGUGUAGAGGUGAAAUUCGUAGAUAUUCGCAAGAACACCAGUGGCGAAGGCGGCUUACUGGUCCGGUACUGACGCUGAGGUGCGAAAGCGUGGGGAGCAAACAGG
rnacentral:rRNA from 1 species